UCACCUACCGUGGCGUAGACCUCGAC
rnacentral:piRNA from 1 species